CGGGCUGUAGCGCAGCUUGGUAGCGCGCUCGCUUCGGGAGCGAGAAGUCGUCGGUUCAAAUCCGGCCAGCCCGA
rnacentral:tRNA from 1 species